rnacentral:rRNA from 1 species
UACGUAGGGGGCAAGCGUUGUCCGGAUUAUUGGGCGUAAAGAGCGUGUAGGCGGUUUGGUAGGUCCGUUGUGAAAACUCGAGGCUCAACCUCGAGACGCCGGCGGAAACCAUCAGGCUAGAGUCCGGAAGAGGAGAGUGGAAUUCCUGGUGUAGCGGUGAAAUGCGCAGAUAUCAGGAAGAACACCUAUGGCGAAGGCAGCUCUCUGGGACGGUACUGACGCUGAGACGCGAAAGCGUGGG